rnacentral:rRNA from 1 species
GACGAACCGUGCGAACGUUAUUCGGAAUCAUUGGGCUUAAAGGGCGCGUAGGCGGCGGUGUAAGUUGGAAGUGAAAUCCCAUCGGCUCAACCGUGGAAUUGCUCCCAGUACUGCAUCGCUCGAGGGGGAUAGGGGUUUGCGGAACUACCGGUGGAGCGGUGAAAUGUGUUGAUAUCGGUGGGAACGCCAGUGGCGAAAGCGGCAAACUUGACCCUUCCUGACGCUGAGGCGCGAAAGCUAGGGGAGCAAACAGG